GUAAUGUUCAGUUGUAUACUGUUUCAGUUUCAGUGUUCUGUAAUGUUCAGUUGUAUACGGUUUCAGUGUUCUGUAAGGUUUCAGUUGUAUACUGUUUCAG